rnacentral:rRNA from 1 species
AGUGAACGCUGGCGGUAGGCCUAACACAUGCAAGUCGAACGGCAGCACAGUAAGAGCUUGCUCUUACGGGUGGCGAGUGGCGGACGGGUGAGGAAUACAUCGGAAUCUACUUUUUCGUGGGGGAUAACGUAGGGAAACUUACGCUAAUACCGCAUACGACCUACGGGUGAAAGCAGGGGAUCUUCGGACCUUGCGCGAUUGAAUGAGCCGAUGUCGGAUUAGCUAGUUGGCGGGGUAAAGGCCCACCAAGGCGACGAUCCGUAGCUGGUCUGAGAGGAUGAUCAGCCACACUGGAACUGAGACACGGUCCAGACUCCUACGGGAGGCAGCAGUGGGGAAUAUUGGACAAUGGGCGAAAGCCUGAUCCAGCCAUACUGCGUGGGUGAAGAAGGCCUUCGGGUUGUAAAGCCCUUUUGUUGGGAAAGAAAAGCAGCAGGUUAAUACCCCGCUGUUCUGACGGUACCAAAAGAAUAAGCACCGGCUAACUUCGUG